AUUGAACGCUGGCGUCAGGCCUAACACAUGCAAGUCGAGCGGAGCGGCGGCCGAGUGAGUAAUGCCUAGGACUCUGACUGGUAGUGGGGGAUAGCGUCAGGAACCGGGCGCUGAUACCGCAUACUCUCAGAUGAGGCACGGGCGGAUUGGCUAGUUGGUGGGGUAAAGGCGGACCACGGCCACGAUCGGUAACUGGUCUGAGAGGAUGAUCAGUCACCAGGGAAAUUGAGAACGGUCCAGAAGCCGACGUGAGACAGGAGUGGGGAAUAUUGGAUAAUGGGCGAAAGCCUGAUGCAGCCAUGGGGGGUGUGUGAAGAAGGUCUUAGGAUUUUAAAGCACGUUAAGCUGUGAGGCGUUACCAACAGAAGAAGCACCGGCUAACUUCGUGCCAGCAGCCGCGGUAAUAC
rnacentral:rRNA from 1 species